rnacentral:sRNA from 1 species
UAAUUUCUAAAAAUAAUAACCAAUCAAAAUCAACAUAUAAGAUUUGAUAUCUAAAUUUUAAUUAAUUUAAUUUAAUUAGAAAAACGAAAUACAUUAUUAAUUUCCAAAAAAGUAACCAAUUAAAAUCAACAAAUUAUAUUUGAUAUCUAAAUUAUCAUAUUAAUUUUUUAUUAAUUAUUAUAGUUCACUUCUCAUCUUUAUAUGAUUCUAUUUUUGCGGAAAAAUAAUAUCAUCAUUAUAAAAAAAUAAUUAGAGUCUUUUCGCAUAUGCCAUAAUUUGAAUUUUUAAAAACGAAUAUAAACUGUUCAAUACAUGAAAAAAUAUUAUAACGGGUGAAAAAUAGAUUUAAGAAAACUUUCUACUGAGUAACGAGUCAUAAUUUGAAAUAUUUAUAUUCAAUUUCAUACAUAUUAUAUUGAAAAUUUAUAAUCUUAUAUACUACAAUAAUUAAUAACAUAUUACAU